AUUGAACGCUGGCGGCAGGCCUAACACAUGCAAGUCGAGCGGAUGAAGGGAGCUUGCUCCUGGAUUCAGCGGCGGACGGGUGAGUAAUGCCUAGGAAUCUGCCUGGUAGUGGGGGAUAACGUCCGGAAACGGGCGCUAAUACCGCAUACGUCCUGAGGGAGAAAGUGGGGGAUCUUCGGACCUCACGCUAUCAGAUGAGCCUAGGUCGGAUUAGCUAGUUGGUGGGGUAAAGGCCUACCAAGGCGACGAUCCGUAACUGGUCUGAGAGGAUGAUCAGUCACAUUGGAACUGAGACACGGUCCAGACUCCGACGGGAGGACGCAGUGGGGACUAUUGGACAAUGGGCGAAAGCCUGAUACAGCCAUGCCGCGUGUGUGAAGAAGGUCUUCGGAUUGUAAAGCAAUUUAAGUUGGGAGGAAGGGAAGUAAGUUAAUACCUUGCUGUUUUGACGUUACCAACAGAAUAAGCACCGGCUAACUUCGUG
rnacentral:rRNA from 1 species